rnacentral:rRNA from 1 species
CGGCGUGCUUACACAUGCAAGUCGAACGAUGAAGCCACUUCGGUGGUGGAUUAGUGGCGAACGGGUGAGUAACACGUGGGCAAUCUGCCCUUCACUCUGGGACAAGCCCUGGAAACGGGGUCUAAUACCGGAUAACACUCUGUCCCGCAUGGGACGGGGUUGAAAGCUCCGGCGGUGAAGGAUGAGCCCGCGGCCUAUCAGCUUGUUGGUGGGGUAAUGGCCUACCAAGGCGACGACGGGUAGCCGGCCUGAGAGGGCGACCGGCCACACUGGGACUGAGACACGGCCCAGACUCCUACGGGAGGCAGCAGUGGGGAAUAUUGCACAAUGGGCGAAAGCCUGAUGCAGCGACGCCGCGUGAGGGAUGACGGCCUUCGGGUUGUAAACCUCUUUCAGCAGGGAAGAAGCGAAAGUGACGGUACCUGCAGAAGAAGCGCCGGCUAACUACGUGCCAGCAGCCGCGGUAAUACGUAGGGCGCAAGCGUUGUCCGGAAUUAUUGGGCGUAAAGAGCUCGUAGGCGGCUUGUCACGUCGGAUGUGAAAGCCCGGGGCUUAACCCCGGGUCUGCAUUCGAUACGGGCUAGCUAGAGUGUGGUAGGGGAGAUCGGAAUUCCUGGUGUAGCGGUGAAAUGCGCAGAUAUCAGGAGGAACACCGGUGGCGAAGGCGGAUCUCUGGGCCAUUACUGACGCUGAGGAGCGAAAGCGUGGGGAGCGAACAGGAUUAGAUACCCUGGUAGUCCACGCCGUAAACGUUGGGAACUAGGUGUUGGCGACAUUCCACGUCGUCGGUGCCGCAGCUA